AUGUGUAGCUUUAGAGAGGAUUUGUUUUUAGAGGAGGUCAGUAACCCCCCCCCCUUUUGAAAGCUGGAUAGAGUCAGGAGAAGAAGGCAAAUAAUUCAUAAAUAAUGAAGACAAAUUGAAAAGUUGUCUAAAAGGUAAUCUUAAAGUAAACCCCCCUUUUAAGAUGCAAAUUGAAGGGCUGCUGAAUUAAAAGCUAAAUAACUAAAAAAAAAAAAAAAAAAAAAAAAAACACAAAAUAAUAAAAAAAAAAUGGAAAAAUUGCAAAUUGUCUCAGAAAAUUGUCUCUCUACAUCAUACUUCUCACAGCAGAACAACCUCUUUUAAGAAUAAGUUAGGGGGUCAACUACUCAAUUUCAGUUUGGCAACUGUUGUAAACUGCAAAAAAGUAAUGUUACUCCCAUUGUUUUGAUUUUUAAAACGUUUAAUAAUAAUUUAAUAAUCUUCUUUAGUGACUUUGGUACUGUUGAGCUUCUUCCUGUCACUUGAUACAUUGCUGUGUUUAAUUUGCAGUUGUGUCAGUAAACAUAGCUGAAUGUUGCAUGUUUAUAUUGUGUUUACAUUAAAGUAGUUUAUUUUAAGAACAUGAAAUAGAUUUCUCUUUUGUAAUCUGGAAACAUUUUUAGUAGUGUAGUAGUAGUGUCACUAUUUGUUGGUUUCAUGACAUCCUUGCAUUCUAGAAUGUUGGUAAAUGGCUUGCUUGUGCUCUUGCACACGAUGCAACUGUACACGACUGUUAGACAGAAUUGCUACCAGGGUUGCCACCUGGCCGGUAAAAAUGAUGGUUAAUCCCAAUGUUAUUAAUAGGGAAAAAAGAAAAGAUGGCAACCCUAAUUGCUACAUGUAGCAAAUCUAGCCUA